UCCCAUAAUCAACACUCCCUCCCCACUCUCCCACAUUAUUCUUCUCUUUCCCAUAAUUGAAGAUCACAUGCACCUAAAAGGCUAAUCUACUAGCCAACACAUUCCUACACACUUUAAGCUCACAAGCACAUGCACACCUCUCUCUCAUUUCCCUCCCUCUCUUCUUCUUCUUUAUUUUCGCAGCCCCUCCCCUCUUCACUUCACCUUACUUUCUUUUUUGUUCCACCAAAUAUAGUAAGAACUAAGGUUUCUUAAAGUGUUCAUCUUCAAGCUCAAGCUCCAAGCAUACUACGCAUCAUCCUCUACUCCACCUCCAUUGAUCUUGUUGGUUCGAGUGACGGCCGGCGUUAGUACGACUCUGAGCGUUACGUCAUCGACCCCUGAGACAGGUCUGGCUUGGCGCGAGGAUGGGUGAAAGCUGUUGGAAUUGUCAGUUGGCUGUGUCUUUCCUAUGUCUCAUAUUUAUCUUUAUAAGCUUUGACUCUAUAAGAAUUUGAACUCCCUGCUAUAUGUCUUCACACA